AUACGUAGGGUGCAAGCGUUAAUCGGAAUUACUGGGCGUAAAGCGUGCGCAGGCGGUUUUGUAAGACAGUGGUGAAAUCCCCGGGGUCAACCUGGGAACUGCCAUUUUGACUGCAAGGCUGGAGGGCGGCAGAGGGGGAUGGAAUUCCGCGGGUAGCAGUGAAAUGCGUAGAUAUGCGGAGGAACACCGAUGGCGAAGGCAAUCCCCUGGGCCUGCACUGACGCUCAUGCACGAAAGCGUGGGGAGCAAACAGGAUUAGAUACCCUGGUAGUCCACGCCCUAAACGAUGUCAACUGGUUGUUGGGGAUUUAUUUUCUCAGUAACGAAGCUAACGCGUGAAGUUGACCGCCUGGGGAGUACGGCCGCAAGGUUAAAACUCAAAUGAAUGGACGGGG
rnacentral:rRNA from 1 species